AGGAUGACUCUAAUCUCUAGAAUUUCUUAUCAGUGGAGAAGAUGAUGACUUAAAUCUGCAUAAAGAUUGUUUACUGUUCUUUUCCUGGUAACCUCUCCUGACUCUCGCCUCCCUCAACAUCAUCUUUUGUCUUUAGCUGAAGAUGAUAUUUAAGAAUAGCCAGAAGAACCUCGAAGGGCAGAGGAAAAUGUCUUUCUCCUCGACAAGUCCCAGGGAGACUCAGGUCCUAAAGGAAGGAAGAACUCCAACUCUGGCAUGAAGAAUGAGUCAGAUUCCUGGAGUCUUCCUCUCAAACGUUCAGAAGUGCUCUAUAUAAACCCUUAAGAUUCUGGCAGGCGGGUGAGGAGAUCAUCUUGCGGCCGCCGGAGAGAAACUUCA